UUUUAUUAAUAUAGUUUUCCCCAGACAAUGGGCGCCUAAAAGGCUUAAACGGCUUAAAGCCGAUCGCCCAUCCAGGAAACAAGCGAUUUGCCAUUGGCAAUUCGCGAUUUGCCAAAUAGUCUGUGGAAACCCCACAGAUUUUUGAUUUUUCGC
rfam:Candidatus Buchananbacteria bacterium RIFCSPHIGHO2_01_FTLL_44_11 rifcsphigho2_01_scaffold_3804, whole genome shotgun sequence.